rnacentral:rRNA from 1 species
GACGAACCGUGCGAACGUUGUUCGGAAUCACUGGGCUUAAAGGGCGCGUAGGCGGGCUAUCAAGUCCGGGGUGAAAUCCUCCAGCUUAACUGGAGAACGGCCUCGGAUACUGAUGGUCUCGAGGGAGGUAGGGGCACGCGGAACUGUGGGUGGAGCGGUGAAAUGCGUUGAUAUCCAUAGGAACUCCGGUGGCGAAGGCGGCGUGCUGGACCUCUUCUGACGCUGAGGCGCGAAAGCCAGGGGAGCGAACGGG